UUAGGUUUUAGGACCAAGCCUUUCUUUUAAGACAUACAUCAAUUAGUCUCUUGCAUUCUUAUCUUUAACCUUCCCCAUAUUCCUUUUGUGAUUUUCUGUGCCAUGUUCUUGAUGUCCAUAAUGUCCAGACUCACUAGUACUAACAAAUCUUGCUAUAUUUAUUUUUUUAUUCAGUUUUCAUUCUUUGUUACUGGAUCCCUAUUUUGUAAUUAUCCAGGUCUCUUUAGUUUGCAGUGACCAAAAUUUAUGUCACUAAGCUUCAAUAGGAACUGCAGUUCAUUCUUUUGGUCUCUUCAGUCUACAGAGGUGUCGAGCAAAUUGAGCACCUCGGCUUUGGUUUCCAUAUCAUAUUGCUUCAUGACCUCCGGCUGCCGCAUCUCCGACAAAGGAAUCAGAGCUGACCGAUCAUGGAUCAUCCCAAAAUAAACAAAAAAGUAAACGGAUCAAAUUAAUGUGAGCAAAUUAACUAUAUCGACACGGAGACUAGUCAAAAGGGAAAGACAAGGAGGAUGAUAUAUAUAAUAGAGAAAAAAAAAGGUUAUGACUUACGAGAUAUGGAUUUACCCCAGAGGUUGUGUUUAUUAGCGUCGUGGAGCUUGUCGUGCUUGACAUGGAUGAUGAUGAGGGUCUCACCCUUAUCAAGGAGGUUAUUGAUGGCCCAGGCCAACGCCGUCUUGUUGCUCUCGGAGAAGUCCAGUGCAACACCAAUCUUCCGAUCACCUUUCAUUUUCUCUUUCUUUGUUUCGUUCAACCGUCAACCCCUUAAUUAAGAGACCUGUUUGUAUGAAGCACUAGUCUCCAGGGCUCAACCCUUGAACAGUAAAAUCACGCAACCGUGUUUUCAGGGAAGCAUAAGUGGCUACCUGUGUGUGCUGGCGCACUAACCUCGCUGAUGCCUUUUUUUUGUUGAUGGUGAUCGAGUAUUCAGACAUGGCCGAGCAGUGCUUGCAAGUGUUGGAGAAGAUAUCGAAGAGGCAGCCUGUGGCCUGCUUGCAAGAAGGGGUGGUUAUGCCGGUGCUGAAUUAGGUUGAUUUCUUCUCCACAACUAUUAAAGGGUUGAUUGGGCUUCUCACCAAGCUUACUGCUAACUCAAUGGUAGCAUUCAAGACACUCUUUGAGUUGAAUAUAGGUGGUAUUCUACGUGGAAUUAUUUUGACAAUGUUAGACCUAUCCCAUAGCACUUCUUCUCACUUGUUUCUUGAAGAUGGCCAACCUAAUCAGGUUUUCAACAAAUGAUGAUUUCUCUCAAAAUGAGGAACACUUGGCUCGUGUUUUAGAUCAAGUUAUGCAAGAGCUUGAUGGGGGGAGGGCAUGUCCACUUUUGAGUUCAUUGAGAGUGGAACAAUCAAAUCCUUUGGUGCACUAUUUAUCCAAUGACAGAUAUCCUUUUGGAGGACAAUGUGGUUCGUGGCGUGAGUAAUGAUUUUCUUAUUGCACGGAAGAGGUUCCAGACAUUCUCUUAUAUUUCAUUGUCAAAAGCAGGCCUAAGUUGGAAGGAUAUGCUUUUGACAUUGUUAGUAAGAAAACUGUACAUAACAUUGUUUGGACUAUUACAUUUUGUAUUGGUUUGUUAUAUUAGAUGUUUAGAUUAUUAUAUUUUGUAUUCAAUUGUUGUUCGUGAUACUUAUAAAUCGGAAUGUUUAUUUUGCAAAAUAAUAUAAAAGUUGUCGAGCAUUGUA